AAAAUAGGAAACAAAACUUGUAUUUAGUUUCGACCUAAAAUUUUGAUGAUUAUCAUCCCUAUUU
rnacentral:tRNA from 1 species